UACGGAGGGUGCGAGCGUUGUUCGGAAUCACUGGGCGUAAAGCGCGUGUAGGCGGCCCACUAAGUCUGAUGUGAAAGCCCGGGGCUCACCCCCGGAAGUGCAUUGGAAACUGGUGGACUCGAGUCCCGGAGAGGAGAGUGGAAUUCCUGGUGUAGCGGUGAGAUGCGUAGAUAUCAGGAGGAACACCGGUGGCGAAGGCGGCUCUCUGGACGGUGACUGACGCUGAGACGCGAAAGCGUGGGGAGCAAACAGG
rnacentral:rRNA from 1 species